rnacentral:rRNA from 1 species
GAUGAACGCUGGCGGCGUGCCUAAUACAUGCAAGUCGAGCGAACGGACGAGAAGCUUGCUUUUCUGAUGUUAGCGGCGGACGGGUGAGUAACACGUGGAUAACCUACCUAUAAGACUGGGAUAACUUCGGGAAACCGGAGCUAAUACCGGAUAAUAUUUUGAACCGCAUGGUUCAAAAGUGAAAGACGGUCUUGCUGCCACUUAUAGAUGGAUCCGCGCUGCAUUAGCUAGUUGGUAAGGUAACGGCUUACCAAGGCAACGAUGCAUAGCCGACCUGAGAGGGUGAUCGGCCACACUGGAACUGAGACACGGUCCAGACUCCUGCGGGAGGCAGCAGUAGGGAAUCUUCCGCAAUGGGCGAAGGCCUGACGGAGCAACGCCGCGUGAGUGAUGAAGGUCUUCGGAUCGUAAAACUCUGUUAUUAGGGAAGAACAUAUGUGUAAGUAACUGUGCACAUCUUGACGGUACCUAAUCAGAAAGCCACGGCUAACUACGUG